GGCGGGGUGCGGGAGCACUAACGCGUUUCUGUAACCCCGGGAGACCGGCGAGGCUGGGCUGCGAUUGGAGGGGGAAGGUGGUGGGUGGAGAAAUAUCGUCUCUGGCUGGCUGGAGCCAAGGCCGGAAAAAAGAUUACAGGAACGAAACCGGAACUGGGGCUAGGACUCCCGGGGCCUGGAAAGCUUCAGGGGUUUACAACUCAAUGGUAGUGACUUUAGGCUUUCCGAGACUCCUACAGCCCCCUCUUCACUUCAGCAUCUUCCUGGAGCUCAAUUGUAUUGUUCCCUCUUCAGGGCAAAGCCCCCAGGAUACGAACCAUCCGUCGCCCUUGCUACUGUCGACCUGAAAGUUGGUUAAAGAGACAACAAGCUAGCUUUAAUAUGGAAGACUCAGAAGAUGCCUGUUCUAAUAAGGUUGGCUGUGUUGGCAAUAUAGUUCAAGAAAGACAUUUAAUCCAAUCUAAAGAAUCAGCAUCUCAUGUUCAACUUGCUUGCAGUCAACAUUAUUGUGCUUUCCCUUUAAAUGGAAAUGAGCUUUGCAUAUGGAAUACCAAUGACCCUUUCAAUCAGCCAUUACACUUGACAGGCCAUCAUCAGUCAAUUACUGCUGUGACAUUUGGAAACAGAGUUAAUCCACUUCUUGUCUGUUCUGCAUCUUGUGACUAUGUUAUAGUUUGGAACCUGGUGGAAUGUGGAGAAAGAGUACUAGAAGGGUUAACUCCUCGAGGAGAUGUCAGAGGAACUCUUUUGGGAAUGGUGCUUUAUGUGAGAUUUAGUCCAGAUGACCGUAUUAUUGCAGUGUGUGCUGGAAAUAAGAUACUCAUGCUUAAUGCUAAGUUUGAAACUGUAUUAGCUGAGCUGAAAGGUCAUGUUGGCCCGGUCACUGCAGUUGAAUUUUGCACCUGGCAAACAAAUAUAAUAAUAUCAGUGUCUGAAGACAGAGGCUUUAAGGUCUGGGAUCACUGUACUGGAUUAUUAUUAUACAAUUCAGCAGUACUAACAGCAUAUCCUCUUUUAAGUUUAUUCAUUGAUGAAGAAAAGGAACAAUUUAUUACUGGGAGCGCUGAUGGUCAGAUUUGGAUCUUCAGUCUGAUCAAUGCACAUCAUUAUCGUUGUGUGGCCCAAUUUGACCUAAAGAAAAAACAAGAGAUUUUCCUCAGUAAAAGGGUCAAAUUAGCACAACGUAUCCAAACAGAAGAGAGUCAACCCUUCUACAAAAAUGACCUGAAAAAAGAAGAAAGGGUAGAAACAGCAUAUCCUAUAUUGAGAAUCGAACGCUGUGCUCAGUCAAUUAAUGAAGAGUGUGAAUUCUUCCCUGCUGCCAACACCAGAUGCUUGUGGAUAGGAAGCUCUACUGGUUUAUUCAUAAUUAACUUGGACAACUUGGAAUUAGAAUCUGUUUUACAUUUUAAAGAUUUCAGUAACCUCAGCAUUAAAGUUGCUGGCUCAUGUGCAAUAAUGAACAAGGCUGUUAAUCAUAAGGUUUUCUGUUUGCUGACCUCUAUGUUUGGAAAUCAAAUUGCUGUGUUGGAAAUCAGUCUUUUCGCACUCAUGCUAUCACAGUGUCAUGAUGUGAAAGAAACUCUUUCUGUUAUUGCCAGUUCCUGUCUCCUGGCAACCUCUCCACUGUAUAUUAAAACUUUUAAGAAGAAAAAUGCAAAUUUGGCUAGUCAAAAGAAGUCUGCUGUGAAGAGCACCAUAAAAGACCAACCACUGGUUUUCCACGAUAAAGUUAUAUCAUCCGGUUAUGCAUCUGCACCACAAUAUGAAACUGUCUUGAAUAAAUCCAAUGAAAGCAGACUCAGCAAAAUCACUUUAUUAACACUGAUGCAUAUAACUGUUAACAAAGUGGGUCAGACUGGUAACCUCAGUAAAGCCAGCGGUCCCAGUGAGAAGAAAGGGACCCUCUUUAUUGACACACAGCAAAGAAGGGGUCUUGGCAAAGGAACUAUGUUUUCACCAAAGACCAACAUAAAGACAAAUGGUGAAAGAUCCUCAGAAUCAAAGAGUCAUUAUAAAUGUAAAAAUUAUCCCUUGGAGAAUCUGCUGCCCACCAAGCUUAGCAGGCAUCUAUCUGUAAGCCACACAUUAACUGCUAUUUGCUGCCUUCAGUAUUCAGGAGAUGGACUCCAUUUGGCUUGUGGUUUAGCUGACCAUUCAUUGCUAGUUUUCAAUUCCAGUCUUACUAGAGUACCAACUGUUUUUCAAGGUCAUGAUGGAGCAGUGACCUCAGUUGGCUGGAGUCAUGACAGGAAAUGGUUGGUUUCUGCUUCAGAAGACAGAACGUUAAGGAUCUGGUCAGUUAGGACUACAGAGUCUACGGUAUUUCUGGGCAAGGAUGUAUUAAGUAAACCUGUACGAGUCACACAGUUUUAUUAUAUGGAUGCUUUUAUAUUACUAUCCUCUGGCUCUGAAUUUCACCUACUAAAAUAUCAUAUUGACACAGAUAAAGAUGAGAUCAAAAGAUAUAAACAAAAGAACAAAGCCAAACUUGUUAAGAAGUUCUCCAUGACAUCAGCUGUAGAGAUUACCAGUCUUUCAGCCAUAAAUGAUUUCUAUUCCUAUAUUGUUCUCACAACUGGGAGUAACAAAGCUUUGGAAGUUUUCGAUCUCAAUGUAGAUUGCAGUGCAGCAGUGAUCCCAGAUAUCCAUUCAAGAUCAGCCCAUCAGAUCUGCCAAAAUAAAGGAUCAGCAUUUGCUGCACAACCAUUUGAGAAUUACGAUCUUUUCCUAACCACAGCUAUUGGUGAUGCAAUAAAACUGUGGGAUUUAAGAACAUUGAGGUGUGAACGCCGUUUUGAAGGACAUCUUAACCGCUGCCAUCCCUGUGCAAUUUCUGUAAGCCCUUGUGGGCGAUACAUAGCCUGUGGAUCAGAGGACAAAUAUGCUUAUAUAUAUGAGAUGGGCUCAAGUACCUUUUCCCACAAAUUGACGGGACACACAGAAACAGUGAUCAGUGUGGCUUUUAACCCAUCAAGACCCCAGAAACAUUGUGUAAUUUUGGCUUAGCCUCUUUACACCAGUGUAUUUUUCAUGAGUCUAUUUGUGGUGAGGAGGCAUGGUACGUGACUCCAGGCUCUUUGGACAAAAUUUAGCGAUAAAAUCAUUGGGAUUUCCACAACUGCAAGGGAGAAUUAUAGACAACUUGCCACAGCCACAUUGGAUGGUAAACUACAGUUGUUUCUAGCUGAAUGAUUGCUGACCUAUGGAAGAUCAACCAGCGUUUUUGGAAAGUAAUGAUUUGUUGAAAGAAAAAAGCUGCUCAUUCACCAGAAAUAGGGCAAGAAGCAGAAAGUUCUUUUUUCAAGCUACAGCCUCUUUUUUCAGAUUUCCCUCCCUACAGGUCACAUACUGUAUUUAUAAUAUACUUAUUUUGGACUUUCCUGAUUCUCAAAAGUGAUUCCCUCCCCACUGCCC